GAGGGCUCCAGGGAUGGCACUCUACCAAGCUUGGAACAAAUAACCGCUCCCGCCUGCCGAGGAGACUGAGCCAUCUCUAGAAGAUCCAGACCUGUUUCUGGAAGCAGCUGCUGCAACUCCAGACUUUGGGCAAAGCAUUUGACCUCUAGGAGCUUCACUUUCUCCAUUUGCAAAGUGGGGAGGUGGUGAGGAGCAGAGGAAAUGAAGAGCUUCCACAUCAGUGUUGACAAUGGCUGUGAACUUGUGGACCAUUUGAAGAUGUCCAGUCAAUGAUGCUGAGAGCCAAGAAGUUCC